rnacentral:rRNA from 1 species
AUUCCACCUGAGCUCAGGUAAGAGCACCCGCUGAAAAU